GGUGGUUCUUGGGUGAUGCACCCUGGAAUCAGGCUCCCUCCUCUCUGGUUAAGGUGCGUCACCUGAGAACAGCA
rfam:Myotis davidii contig218663, whole genome shotgun sequence.